AUACGGAGGGUGCGAGCGUUGUUCGGAAUUAUUGGGCGUAAAGAGCAUGUAGGCGGUCUGUUAAGUCUGGUGUGAAAGCCCGGGGCUCAACCCCGGAAGUGCAUUGGAUACUGGCAGACUUGAGUAUGGGAGAGGAAAGCGGAAUUCCGAGUGUAGGAGUGAAAUCCGUAGAUAUUCGGAGGAACACCAGUGGCGAAGGCGGCUUUCUGGACCAAUACUGACGCUGAGAUGCGAAAGCGUCGGGAGCGAACAGGAUUAGAAACCCGAGUAGUCC
rnacentral:rRNA from 1 species